UUUCCUUCUUAAAAUGCAGCCCACCAUUAAAACAAAGGCCAUUAGCCCAAUUUGUUAGGGUUUCAUUUGGCAAGAGGCUACCGAACUACCAUUUAUUUGGUGACUGACGGUUCUCGGUGAUGGCCUGACCUGGUGCACGCUCGCAGAGAUCCGGUACGGAGUCCGCUGGCAUCUUACGGAGGUACGGGCGUGGCGUACGAGGGCUGUGUGCUGGUGGAGGGUACGGAGACUGGGCUGCUGUGCAAGAGGCAAAAAACCCUAAGGUUUCUGCCUUGAUUUUUGUUUUCGGGCUGUAGGGUAUUGGGCCAUUGUACUUGGGGUUAUUUGGGUUUUGGACUGCUGUAAAACUGGACAUUUUAAUUUUGGUUUGGUUUUUGUUUUUUAUUUUUGUCUGAUUUGGCUUAUCGGGCCCGGGCUAAAUUGACCCAUUACAAUUUUCUUUUAUAAUUAGCAAUAAAUAUAUUGUAAUAUUGUUACAAUAAAAUAAAAUUUAAAAUAUAUUUUAAAUUUUAUAAAAUAAAA